GAAAGACACGGUUCAGUGUCUGUCUGUCAGAACCGUAUCUGCUGUUCAGGCUGACUCAUCUAGUCUGGAGGAGGGGCUAUCUUCAUUUCUAAUUGAGGCUGUGGAGUCCAGGGACGAGACCUGACUGACUUGUCUCAGAGGUACUUCCUGAACAGUCUUUCUCUCACCGUGGACCAAAGGUUUGGCCAGAGCUAUGUAGCUGUCAAGCUCUAGAGAAAAUGAGGGGCGUAUUUCUAAAAGGGCAGAGGGAAACAUAGCCAGAAGAGGCAGACAGGCGGAUGAAAAUAUCAAACGGUUCCAGCGUGCACUGAAGGAUCAGAUGUGUGGAGAGUAGAGGCCAGGGAGGGACUGACUGCAGGGGGAUUGCCAGCUCCUCUGAGAAGCCUUUCCCAGAGGCCUGCUUUGGCUCCUGACGUCCUUGUUCGUGUUCUCUGUAGCCGAUGGCAUGUAUAUUACCUAAUCACAGCAGCUUUGAAGGUGAAAGUUCCUCUGGUUCAUCCUGUUUCCUUCCUUCCGGUUGUGAACAUGGACUUACUGUUUGGAUGAAGAAAUGAAGAAACGGGAGAAAUACAGACAUAGAGAAGGAAGGUCAGAGGAUCACAGAAUCUACAGGCUGAGCAUACACUCUACUCCAGCUUCUCAGCUCUCGUCAUCUGCACAGAAAUACAUCACUAAGUCAUUUAUGCUCAUCUUCCUUCUGAAGUUCUUCCUAGAAAUUUGUCUUCCAGUGAGGCAGUGGGCUUCAGAACUCCAAGAUCAUGCAGAAGAGCACAUGAGCGUCUGCUCUCAUCAGCCAGGGUGGCUGGUUCCCCUCACACUGGGAAUCUUAGUGCUAAGCUCUCAAAACCCAGUACUGCAAUAG
rnacentral:lncRNA from 1 species